rnacentral:rRNA from 1 species
GAAGAACUUACCUGGCCUUGACAUCUACGGAAUUCUGCAGAGAUGCGGAAGUGCCUUCGGGAACCGUAAGACAGGUGCUGCAUGGCUGUCGUCAGCUCGUGUCGUGAGAUGUUGGGUUAAGUCCCGCAACGAGCGCAACCCUUGUCCUUAGUCGCCAUCAUUAAGUUGGGAACUCUAAGGAGACUGCCGGUGACAAACCGGAGGAAGGUGGGGAUGACGUCAAGUCAUCAUGGCCUUUAUGGCCAGGGCUACACACGUGCUACAAUGGCAGGUACAGAGGGAAGCCAACUCGCGAGAGGGAGCCAAUCCCAGAAAGCCUGUCGUAGUCCGGAUCGGAGUCUGCAACUCGACUCUGUGAAGUCGGAAUCGCUAGUAAUCGCAGAUCAGCAUUGCUGCGGUGAAUACGUUCCCGGGUCUUGUACACACCG